UUAAGAGCUUGCUCUUAUGAAGUUAGCGGCGGACGGGUGAGUAACACGUGGGUAACCUACCCAUAAGACUGGGAUAACUCCGGGAAACCGGGGCUAAUACCGGAUAAUAUUUUGAACUGCAUAGUUCGAAAUUGAAAGGCGGCUUCGGCUGUCACUUAUGGAUGGACCCGCGUCGCAUUAGCUAGUUGGUGAGGUAACGGCUCACCAAGGCGACGAUGCGUAGCCGACCUGAGAGGGUGAUCGGCCACACUGGGACUGAGACACGGCCCAGACUCCUACGGGAGGCAGCAGUAGGGAAUCUUCCGCAAUGGACGAAAGUCUGACGGAGCAACGCCGCGUGAGUGAUGAAGGCUUUCGGGUCGUAAAACUCUGUUGUUAGGGAAGAACAAGUGCUAGUUGAAUAAGCUGGCACCUUGACGGUACCUAACCAGAAAGCCACGGCUAACUACGU
rnacentral:rRNA from 1 species